UUUAAAGAUACUUACAAAACAUUGGAAGAAGAUUGGAAAGAGGAAGAGGGAGAGAGGAGAGGAUGAGAAUGACUGCUUAAUUCGGAGCUGUGAUCUCACACCCAAUGAGAUGAAAUCACCUGUGAAAGGAACAAUCCAACAGAACCAUUCAGUCAAUAGGACAUGUCUAUAAAAUUGCAACAAAAUGAA